rnacentral:rRNA from 1 species
AGCUCCAAUAGCGUAUAUUAUUGAUGUUGCAGUUGAAACGUUCGUAGUCGAACUUUGUGUGCAAGGACAUUCGUCGCUAUCGGCGUCGAACGUCUGUGCACAUAUGGCGCAAUCGGUUGUGCAUGCUUCAUGUACCAAUCGUUUUGCGUUUUACUUUGAGUGAAUCGGCGUGUUCCACGCAGGCAUGUGCCUUGAACGAUUUACCAUAGCAUAAAUACAGUAUGGAAUUGUCUGAUUGUUUGUUCAAGGACAUUUCCGAUACUGAUAAGAACGGUUGAGGGCAUUCGUAUUCAACUGCCAGAGGUGAAAUUCUUUGAUUAGUUGAGGACGAACUACGGCGAAAGCAUCUGCCAAGGACGUUUCUUUUGAUCAAGAACGAAAGUUAGCACG